rnacentral:tRNA from 1 species
GGCGAGAUGGCCAAGUGGCUAAGGCAGAGGCCUGCAAAGCCUUUAUCCUCGGUUCGAAUCCGGGUCUCGCCUCCA